rnacentral:miRNA from 1 species
UAAGAUGACCAACUCAUCCCAGUUUGUCUAGGACUGGGUUUUAAAAUGCCCUUCAGUCCUGUGCAAACCAGAAUGGUUAGUCACCCUACUGUUAU